AAUUGAUUCUUCAUCCAAACAAUCCUCAAUCACUCUCUCUCUAUACAACUUCACACCAUAAAUCACUAAGGGCACCCAAAAUGGGUUUCUAUAAAUAGAAAGUUUUCAAAAAGGGAAAGUUUCCCCAAAAUAGGAACUUUCCUCACUUAGAAAUAUUUCCGAUUAAAAACCGACAAACUUUCCUAUUUAUGAAACAACGCAAAACAAAAAGGAAAACUUCGAUAACUACCUCAACUGCUCUUGUCAGACUAACUGCCUUCGCCGGAUUCCGACGACUUGCCGGAAUAUUCUGCCGGAUUCCGGCCACUUGCCGGAAUUUCGCCAUGACCUCCCUAUAUCCUUCAAUAUACCGAGUUCUCGACACACAAACACAAAAUAACCAAAAGCAGUCAUUAACCAUCUCCAAACCACAGAGGAACAACAUAGCAGCACCCAAAAAUCGAUACUUACCUCCACUAUGCCCAAAUGAAAAUCCAGUGGCUCCUCCCUGCUAGAACUCAUCAUACAGGUCCUCCAGCUGCUUCCAAAUCAAGAACUAGCANNNNN
rnacentral:lncRNA from 1 species